UACGAAGGGGGCUAGCGUUGCUCGGAAUGACUGGGCGUAAAGGGCGCGUAGGCGGCACUGUUAGUCAGGCGUGAAAGUCCUGGGCUCAACCUGGGAACUGCGCUUGAUACGGCAGAGCUAGAGGAUGGAAGAGGCUCGCGGAAUUCCCAGUGUAGAGGUGAAAUUCGUAGAUAUUGGGAAGAACACCGGUGGCGAAGGCGGCGAGCUGGUCCAUUACUGACGCUGAGGCGCGACAGCGUGGGGAGCAAACAGG
rnacentral:rRNA from 1 species